AUUGAACGCUGGCGGCAUGCUUUACACAUGCAAGUCGAACGGUAACAGGCCGCAAGGUGCUGACGAGUGGCGAACGGGCGAGUAAUGCACCGGAACGUGCCCAGUCGUGGGGGAUAACGCAGCGAAAGCUGUGCUAAGACCGCAUACGAUCUAUGGAUGAAAGCGGGGGACCGUAAGGCCUAGCGCGAUCGGAGCGGCCGGUGUCGGAUUAGGUAGUUGGUGGGGGAAAGGCCUACCAAGUCGACGAUCGGUAGCUGGUCUGAGAGGACGACCAGCGGCAUGGGGACGGAGACAGGGCCCAGACUCCUACGGGAGGCAGCAGUGGGGAAUUUUGGACAAUGGGCGCAAGCCUGGUCCAGCAAUGCCGCGUGCAGGAAGAAGGCCUUCGGGUUGUAAACUGCUUUUGUACGGAACGAAACGGUCUGGGUUAAUACCCUGGGCUAAUGACGGUACCGUAAGAAUAAGCACCGGCUAACUACGUGCCAGCCGCCGCCGUAA
rnacentral:rRNA from 1 species